UACGAAGGGGGCUAGCGUUGCUCGGAAUCACUGGGCGUAAAGCGCACGUAGGCGGAUUGCUAAGUCAGGGGUGAAAUCCUGGAGCUCAACUCCAGAACUGCCUUUGAUACUGAGGAGCUUGAGUCCGGGAGAGGUGAGUGGAACUGCGAGUGUAGAGGUGAAAUUCGUAGAUAUUAGGAAGAACACCGGUGGCGAAGGCGGCCCACUGGUCCGGUACUGACGCUGAGGUGCGAAAGCGUGGGGAGCAAACAGG
rnacentral:rRNA from 1 species